ensembl:snoRNA U8 U8 small nucleolar RNA
UCAUCGGGUAGGAUAAUCCUUACCUGUUCCUCUGUUCUGAGGGCAGAUAGAACAUGAUUGGAGUUCUCAUGAUUCAUGGUCAACUACCCUGCAUGAUUAGGGCUCACCACACCCUAAUUGCUCCUAUCUAAU